UAGAGGAAGUAAAAGUCGUAACAAGGUUUCCGUAGGUGAACCUGCGGAAGGAUCAUUAAUGAAUUAUUAGAAUGAUUUGNUGNUGCCUUGAAAAAGGAUUGUGCACAAUCUUUCAAUAUUCUACUUAACCACCUGUGCAUUUUUCAUAAGUCAUGAAUACAACUUAUCACUGAAAAUGUGGAUUUGAGACUUAGUUUAAUACUUUGUCUCAAUGGUAAUCAUGGCUUAUGUCUUUCUUAUACACACUAUUAAAAUGAAAUGAAUGUAUUACUUGUAGAGUUUACUCUAUAAUAAAUAAAAUACAACUUUCAGCAACGGAUCUCUUGGCUCUCGUAUCGAUGAAGAACGCAGCGAAAUGCGAUAAGUAAUGUGAAUUGCAGAAUUCAGUGAAUCAUCGAAUCUUUGAACGCACCUUGCACCCUUUGGUAUUCCGAAGGGUAUGCCUGUUUGAGUGUCAUUAAAUUCUCAAAUCAAACAAUUUUGGUUGUUUUGAUUUGGACUUGAGGGUUAUUGCUGUUCAUUCAGCUCCCUUGAAAUGUAUAUGUGGCAUUUGAUCCCCUUUUGUCCUUUGACAUGGUAAACUUAUCGAGUCAAUUUGUGUACAAUUGGUGUUGGAUUGUGCUGCUAUCAAACUGUCUUUAUUGACAAUUUUAUGAACUAUUGACCUCANAUCAGGNAGNACUACCCGCUGAACUUAAGCAUAUCAAUAAGCGG
rnacentral:rRNA from 1 species